AGUGAACGCUGGCGGCGUGCUUAACACAUGCAAGUCGAACGAGAACGGGUUAUAGCUUGCUAUAAUUGUCAGCUAAGUGGCGCACGGGUGAGUAAUGUAUAGGUAAUAUGCCUCUUACUAAGGGAUAACAAAUGGAAACGUUUGCUAAUACCUUAUACUCCUUAUUAACAUAAGUUAAUAAGGGAAGGAUUUAUUGGUAAGAGAUUAGCCUGUAUUGUAUCAGUUAGUUGGUGGGGUAAUGGCUUACCAAGACUAUGACACAUAACUGGUUUGAGAGGAUGAUCAGUCACACUGGAACUGAGACGCGGUCCAGACUCCUACGGGAGGCAGCAGUGGGGAAUAUUGCACAAUGGACGAAAGUCUGAUGCAGCAACGCCGCGUGGAGGAUGACACAUUUCGGUGCGUAAACUCCUUUUAUAUGAGAAGAUAAUGACGGUAUUAUAUGAAUAAGCACCGGCUAACUCCGUGCCAGCCGCCGCAGUAACAC
rnacentral:rRNA from 1 species